rnacentral:rRNA from 1 species
ACUCCUACGGGAGGCAGCAGUGGGGAAUAUUGCACAAUGGGCGCAAGCCUGAUGCAGCCAUGCCGCGUGUAUGAAGAAGGCCUUCGGGUUGUAAAGUACUUUCAGCAGUGAGGAAGGCAGGUACGUUAAUAGCGUGCUUGUUUGACGUUAGCUGCAGAAGAAGCACCGGCUAACUCCGUGCCAGCAGCCGCGGUAAUACGGAGGGUGCGAGCGUUAAUCGGAAUUACUGGGCGUAAAGCGCAUGCAGGUGGUUUGUUAAGUCAGAUGUGAAAGCCCGGGGCUCAACCUCGGAAUUGCAUUUGAAACUGGCAGACUAGAGUACUGUAGAGGGGGGUAGAAUUUCAGGUGUAGCGGUGAAAUGCGUAGAGAUCUAGAAGGAAUACCGGUGGCGAAGGCGGCCCCUGGACAGAUACUGACAUCAGAUGACGAAAGGCGUGGGGAGACAAACGAGGAUUAGA